rnacentral:rRNA from 1 species
GGUUGGGCUUCGCCUCUCCCACCCUUUGUGAACGUACCUCUGUUGCUUUGGCGGCUCUUUGAGCGAAGGGCCCUCGCGGCCCCCCGCGCGCUUUCCGCCAGAGGACCUUCACUCCAUCAGUAAACGUCGACGUCUGAUAAACAAGUUAAUAAACUAAAACUUUCAACAACGGAUCUCUUGGUUCUGGCAUCAUGAAAACGCCAAAUGCAUAAGUAAUGUGAAUUGCGAAUUCAUGAAUCAUCGAAUCUUUGAACGCACAUUGCGCCCCCUGGCAUUCCGGGGGGCAUGCCUGUUCAGCGUCAUUACACCCUCAAGCUCUGCUUGGUAUUGGGCGCCSUCCUCUCUGCGGACGCGCCUUAAAGACCUCGGCGGUGGCUGUUCAGCCCUCAAGCGUAUAAAUACACCUCGCUUUGGACGGUUGGCGUCCCCGCCGGACGAACCUUCUGAACUUUUCUCAAGGUUGACCUCGGAUCACGUAGGGAUACCCGCUGAACUUAAGCAUAUCAAUAAGCGGAGGAAAUUACCGAGUUCUCGGGCUUCGGCUCGAAUCUCCCCCUUUGUGAACGUACCUCUGUUGCUUUGGCGGCUCUUUGCGCGAGGAGGCCUCGGGGCCCGCUUUCGAAGGACUUACUCUGAUAAUCCUCGAUAAACAGUUAUAAACUAAAACUUUCACAACGGAUCUCUUGGGUUUCUGGCAUCAUGAAAGAGCAAAUGAUAAGUAAUGUGAAAUUGCAGAAAUUCUGAAUCAUAAUCUUUGAACGCCAUUGCUCUGCAUUCGGGGGGCAUGCUGUUCAGUUUACACCCUGUGUGGGGGGCUUGGCUUAAGACGGCGGGGGGCUUUACUCUACGUAGAUAAAUAACCUUGGAGCGUGGGUGCCCCGGCACACACUCUAAUUUUCGGUGACGACGGGGGGAUACCGUUACCUUAACUACCUUACGGGGAAGA